rnacentral:rRNA from 1 species
UACGGGGGGGGGCAAGCGUUGUUCGGAAUUACUGGGCGUAAAGGGCUCGUAGGCGGCCAACUAAGUCGGACGUGAAAUCCCUCGGCUUAACCGGGGAACUGCGUCCGAUACUGGAUGGCUUGAGUUUGGGAGAGGGAUGCGGAAUUCCAGGUGUAGCGGUGAAAUGCGCAGAUAUCAGGAGGAACACCGGUGGCGAAGGCGGGUCUCUGGGCCGAUACUGACGCUGAGGAGCGAAAGCGUGGGGAGCGAACAGG